CUACGUGCAAGCGGUAGCGGAGCGUUCCGUAAGCCUGCGAAGCGGUAUCUGUGAGGGGCCGUGGAGGUAUCGGAAGUGCGAAUGAUGACAUGAGUAGCGAUAAAAAGUGUGAGAGACACUUUCGCCGAAAGUCCAAGGGUUCCUGCGCAAUGCUAAUCAGCGCAGGGUUAGUCGGCCCCUAAGGUGAGGCAGAAAUGCGUAGCCGAUGGGAAUCACGUUAAUAUUCGUGAACCAGAUGGUAGUGACGGAUCGCGCAGGUUCGUAUCCCCUUAUUGGAUUGGGGGUGCGAUGAGCCGGUUCCUGGAAAUAGCUCCAUCGACAUUGACCGUACCCUAAACCGACACAGGUGGACUGGUAGAGUAUACCAAGGCGCUUGAGAGAACUAUACUGAAGGAACUCGGCAAAUUGCAUGCGUAACUUCGGGAUAAGCAUGACUUCUAUCGGGGCAACCCUUUAGGAGUGGCACAAAAGAGGGGGUGGCGACUGUUUACUAAAAACACAGGGCUCUGCGAAGAUGCAAAUCGACGUAUAGGGUCUGACGCCUGCCCGGUGCCGGAAGGUUAAAAGGAGAGGUGCAAGCUUUGAAUUGAAGCCCCGGUAAACGGCGGCCGUAACGAUAACGGUCCUAAGGUAGCGAAAUUCCUUGUCGGGUAAGUUCCGACCUGCACGAAUGGCGUAACGACUUCCCCACUGUCUCCAGUAUAGACUCAGCGAAAUUGAAUUCCCCGUGAAGAUGCGGGGUUCCUGCGGUCAGACGGAAAGACCCCAUGCACCUUUACUAUAGCUUUACGCUGGCAUUUGUGUCGGCAUGUGCAGGAUAGGUGGUAGGCUUUGAAGCCGGGACGCUAGUUUCGGUGGAGCCAAAAGAUGAGAUACCACCCUUAUCGUCAUAGAUGUCUAACCGCGGCAUAACAGUGUCCGGGACAGCGUAUGGUGGGUAGUUUGACUGGGGCGGUCGCCUCCCAAAGAGUAACGGAGGCGCGCGAUGGUGGGCUCAGAACGGUCGGAAAUCGUUCGACGAGUGCAAUGGCAUAAGCCUGCCUGACUGCGAGACCGACAGGUCGAGCAGAGACGAAAGUCGGUCAUAGUGAUCCGGUGGUCCCGCGUGGAAGGGCCAUCGCUCAACGAAUAAAAGGUACGCUGGGGAUAACAGGCUGAUGAUGCCCAAGAGUCCAUAUCGACGGCAUCGUUUGGCACCUCGAUGUCGGCUCAUCACAUCCUGGGGCUGGAGCAGGUCCCAAGGGUAUGGCUGUUCGCCAUUUAAAGUGGUACGUGAGCUGGGUUUAGAACGUCGUGAGACAGUUCGGUCCCUAUCUGCCGUGGGUGUAGGAAUAUUGAGAAGAGCUGACCCUAGUACGAGAGGACCGGGUUGGACGAAUCUCUGGUGGACCUGUUGUGGCGCCAGCCGCAUUGCAGGGUAGCUAAAUUCGGACGGGAUAACUGCUGAAAGCAUCUAAGCAGGAAGCCUCCUUCAAAACUAGUAUUCCCUUGAGAGCCGUGGAAGACCACCACGUCGAUAGGCCGGGUGUGGAAGCGCAGCAAUGUGUGAAGCUUACCGGUACUAUAGCUCC
rnacentral:rRNA from 1 species